rnacentral:rRNA from 1 species
AUACGGAGGAUCCGAGCGUUAUCCGGAUUUAUUGGGUUUAAAGGGUGCGCAGGCGGGAGAUUAAGUCGGCGGUUAAAUGGUGCGGCUCAACCGUGCCCUGCCGUUGAAACUGGGGUUCUUGAGAGUGCAAGAGGCGGAUGGGAUUCAUGGUGUAGCGGGGGAAUGCUUAGAUAUCAUGAAGAACUCCGAUUGCGAAGGCAGUCCGCUGGGGCACGUCUGACGCUGAUGCUCGAAGGUGCGGGAAUCAAACAGGAUUAGAUACCCUGGUAGUCCGCACGGUAAACGAUGAUUACCCGCUGUCGGCGGUAGACAGUCGGCGGCCAAGCGAAAGCGAUAAGUAAUCCACCUGGGGAGUACGCCGGCAACGGUGAAACUCAAAGGAAUUGACGGGG